rnacentral:lncRNA from 1 species
GAAGUAUUUAACACAUUGAGAAAGCACCAAAUAAGUUUAAACCAAAUAAGUGUACAUUCAGAGUAACCUCAGGUAAAUUUCUCGACUUUAUGGUGACAAGGUAAGAAAUAGAAGCUCGCCUAGAAAAAAUUAAAGUGAUUCUCGAUAUAAAACCUCCAACUUCAAAAUAAAAAGUUCAAAAGCUAGUUGGAUGCAUUACGGCCCUC